rnacentral:sRNA from 1 species
CAAUAGCCCUGAUUGUAGUAAAAAUCCUUUUCUUGUUUUGCAAAAAACAAGAAAAGAUUGUAACGAAAAGCAGGAAAAGGG